UCUCUUCGGUUGUUCAAUUCGAAAAGUAGCAUACAUAAUGCUGCAUUUAAGUGACACGGGCCCAAAUGAAAACGGGAAGGAAGUCCUAGUCGUCAAACAAAUCCGCCCAAAAACUGGGAUUUCCGCAGCUCCAAAACAGUAAAGCCUGGCUUUCCUCCAUGCCUCUGAAAGGCACCCAGUGAUCCGAAUCCUUCUCGGUGCCCGGUUUUGUCAGCAUCCCAGGUUGCCACAUGAGCCCUCGCGGGGAAGGCGGCGCAACGCGCGAGGCAUGCUGGGAGGUCGGGACAUGUUGCACCGGGAUUUUGACCAGCUGAUGCAAAUGCGGCCGCGGCAACGCGAGAGCAGCAGCGAGAAUCCAAUUGUUUUUGUCGGCUGAACCUUCACAGACCUCGGCUCCAGCGCCGGUAUUCUAUUUUAGCAGCCUCGUCGCCGCUGCACGCGGUCAAUUGCUGAAAAAUAGAAGGUCUCCAGCCAUUUCGAGUUAUUUCCAAGAUGUCCACGUGGCUUCUCAAAUGACAUAAAAUGCUCGCAGAAUUUGUCAGAUUUUCCUGCCCACAUAUCGCUAGGCAGAGUUUUUUCUGAUGUUCCAAAAACAUCUUUAGUAUGUUAAGUUGAUUGAAGAAUCAAAAUUGUCCUUCGGAGUGGAUGUGAGUGUGAAGGGUUGUUUGACAAUCUGUGCCAGGGUGCACCAGGUUUUUUAUCCAAAGUCCGUUUGUAAGGCAAAAAUGUCGUGAAAAAUUUGGUAGACAAGAUGUGACAAAGCGGUUGUAUUGCGUUUAAGGCAAUUUAAUUGCACACACAACAAUAUAACACAAAUAGUCGAAUAGUCACCAAAUAGUUACCAAAGUUGAACGAAUGUUGCCAAACAGGCCAAAGUUCUUUCCAGCGAAUAUUCCAAGUGAAUGAAUGUGCCGGAAAAGUCCAAAGACGAAGGGCAGAAGGCGUCCGUGUACUUGUCCCAAGCAGCGGUGCGGUGGUAAGAAGCCCCGUUGACGGUCUUUCUCGUCCUUAUAUAGACACUCCUUGGAACAUUUCAGAAUUCCGCAUCACAAAAGAUCUGAAUCAUAUUAACUUAAAAGUAUAAAAGGAAAGCGCAUCAUAUCAUAUCACCUUACAAGGAAUAGUUCCUAUGAACAGAGACGUCUUGUUAUUUGUUCUUGUUGCUUUGUU